CGGAGAGAAAAGUAGUUUGGUGCUACAAAUCCAAUUCCAUUUUACAAUUCGUCGCACUUCAUUUGCAAAUUUGGGCAGUGAGUGCAACGCGAAAUUUUGCGUCGAUUUCAAUUCUUUUGUAACGUUUGUUAGCCAGGGCCAAAAAGUUCAUCAGGUCAGCGGCGACGGCGACGGCGACGGUGACGGCAGCAAAACAGACCGAAAAGCAAACACAAAUCCUGGCACGCCAACCCGGCCAUGUUGACAGCAAUUUAACGCCUCGACUCGGCUCGACUUGAACCCGCCUCACCGCACUUCUCCAACCCUGACCUCGCUCCAACCCUGCCCUGUCAUCAGCCAGCCCUGGCCUCGGUUCAUUGUUAAGGCAACACCUCUCGACGCCUAAUAGCAUUUUAUUUAUUUAUCACAAAUUUAGUCGCCUACAAAGUGCUUGUCAUCUGUUUGGAUUUCCUUCCCAAAUGCUCUCUCAAAUAUUUAACAAAUUACCAAAACGUUUCCCGUUAAGAUUGUGCGGCUUUUCACGCUGCAUAAAUUAAAAGCCACACAAAAAAAAAAAAUGAAAACGUCUGUUUGGCCAACACUCGAAUUAUGCUUAAAGUUAAUCGACCAAUUUCAGAUGAGCACAAGCAAAACAACAAGAGCGAAAAAUGAAAAUAAAAAUGAAAAUGAAAAUGAAAAUG